CUAUGAUAAGGAGCUUCACAAAUUCUAAAAGCAAUCGCAUUGAAACAGAUAGCAUCAUUUUUCUCAAGACGUUUUACAGUAUAUUGACAAAUUUCUAAUUUGAACAAGCUCUUCACUCCUCUCGACACAGAAAAACAAAGCAGAAUCUACUUAUAAAUUCGUUUGCGGUGAUGUUUGUGGAUCCUUAUGCUUUGUUAAUUAAACCAAUGCUUUGGUAAUACUCUUGACUUGUCGAAUAACUGCAUUGACGGAUUUGUAACACACAAACACCUGGUUUCACAUUGGGAUUUGAGUGUGAGUUUUGGAUUGCUGUUAUACAAUACGCAUCACCAAAAAGGAUGGAGUCAAGAGAAGAAAAGAAUUACAACUACUUGCAGAAAAUACUUAAAAAUGUCGUUAAAAAGAAACUUGUUGAUUUAUUUAUCAAAGAGUGGAACAUUAAUUACGGACAAUGGGAUAAUACAAACGUUAGUGGUCAGAAGUUGUUCAAUAUUGUAAUCAAAGAGAAAAAAUUUUGUGAUAAACAAA